CCUACGGGUGGCAGCAGUGAGGAAUAUUGGUCAAUGGGCGCGAGUCUGAACCAGCCACGUAGCGUGAAGGAUGACUGCCCUACGGGUUGUAAACUUCUUUUAUAAAGGAAUAAAGUGAGACACUUGUGCCUUUUUGAAUGUACCUUAUGAAUAAGGAUCGGCUAACUCCGUGCCAGCAGCCGCGGUAAUACGGAGGAUCCAGGCGUUAUCCGGAUUUAUUGGGUUUAAAGGGAGCGUAGAUGGGUUGUUAAGUCAGUUGUGAAAGUCUGCGGCUCAACCGUAAAAUUGCAAGUGAUACUGGCGGCCUUGAGUACAGUGGAGGUAGGCGGAAUUCGUGGUGUAGCGGUGAAAUGCUUAGAUAUCACGAAGAACUCCGAUUGCGAAGGCAGCUUACUAAACUGCCACUGACACUGAUGCUCGAAAGUGUGGGUAUCAAACAGGAUUAGAUACCCCUGUAGUC
rnacentral:rRNA from 1 species